UUGUGACGCCCGGGUAAUUAAGCUACAGUGAUCCUUUGCUAAUGAUGCCAUGUCACCACUAUUACUGUUACUAAUCUCACGUUGAUCCAAAUCCGGUUCAAAUUCAAAUUCAAAUAAUAAGUGAAAUUCUAAACUUCUCAAACAUCAAAACUAAAAUGAUCAUCAUGUGGCAAAUAAUCCCUAACUUAUUUUGGUUGUUGGAACCAACCUUUUUCAAAAUGUUUAAGUGCCUAAACUAAAUAAAAACAGGGGCUAAAACAAUUAUUAAAUACUUUUAAAUAAUAAACAAAUGUAAAACUAAUUUAUUUAGUUCCAAGUUAAUUAUGGCAGUAGCCUAACUAAUAAUGCUAAUUUAGGGACUGAGUUGAUAUAUUAUAAAACUACAUAUAAAGUAAAACUUAAAGAAACAGAAAAUAGAUAAACAGANNNNNNNNNNNNNNNNNNNNNNNNNNNNNNNNNNNNNNNNNNNNNNNNNNNNNNNNNNNNNNNNNNNNNNNNNNNNNNNNNNNNNNNNNNNNNNNNNNNNNNNNNNNNNNNNUACCCUACGCCAGGACGCCGCCGCCGCCCGAAUCGACCUUCGACGCCCGGAUCGCUCCCCCCGCCGGCCUGCUUCUCCUCUACGUCGUCGUCCCCGCCGCCCUCCUCACGCACCACUACCCUGUUCCCCACGCACCACGGUGAGGCCCUCGGCCUCCUACUCUCCUCCCCGCCUUGCGCGCACGCGCACACAUGCACGCGCACCGCCUCACCGCGCCGACCCGCCUCGCUCGCGUCGCCACGCACCGCCGGCCUCGCCCAUGUUUCGUUGCUGCUGCUUCCUGUGCCGCGACCUGCACCGGCCACACCCCCUACAUCCAUGGCACGCCUCGUCGAUGCCCGCCUGCGCGCCGGCCAUGGCCUUGGUCACCCGCCGUGGCCAGCUCCUACUGCUACUGCGUGCUGGCCUCGCCCACCCCGGCCCCUCAUGCUCCUCGCGCCGCCCUGCCUCCACCGCUUGCAGCCGCUCACACGCCCACGGCCCUGCUCCCUGCCGGCUCCGGCCCGACUGCAGCUCGCCGCUCCCAUGCACGCACGCCGGCGCGCGAAACCGCGCCCUACGUCAUCCCCAGGGCCGCCACUGCCGGGGCUGCGCCCUACUUCCCCGGCAAGCUGGUCGCCGGCACCCAGCGCCCGUCCCUCCCGCGUCGACCUGGGCGGGUGCCCGGCGCCCGUUACCCCGCACUCGCGCGCCCGCUCCAGUGGCCUCUGCGCCACUAGGCAAGGGGCCCCACGCCCCCUGAGAACGUUAAAAAAGGAAUUGAAAAUAAUUAAUUAUUAAUUAAUUAAUUAAUUAAUUAAUUAAAGAGUUAAUUAACUAAUUAAUUAACUUAAUUAAUCCUGUUCAAUUAACCUAAUCACUUAAUUAAUUUAACUAAUCAUGUUUAGUUAACCUAAGUCAAUGACAUCUGGGACCCACCCGUCAGUUUGACCAAGUCAACUGACUGUUGACUGCUGACAUCACCCUGAUGUCAUGCUAACAUCAUAAUGGCAUUUUCUAAUUAAAUUAAUUCUGAUAAUUCUAAAAAUGAUUUAAAUCUUCUAAAAAUAAUAUAAAAUAAACCGUAACUUGUAUGAAAAUACCUUGUACAAGAAAGUUGCUCAGAACGACGAGACGAACCCGAUUUCGCAGCCCGUUCGUUUGCCACGCAUACUUAGCAUCGCGAACACUCAACUUUCCUCCUCCAGUUCAUCUGAUCGAAAAUGCGAAACCUCGGGGAUAUUUUCCCGGAGGUUUCCCCCCUUCGCCGGUACCACCUCAUACCGCGUUAGGGCACCCCUAGCACCGCGUAUUGUCAUGUUAUGCCUUGUGAGGCUUUGAUUGCAUUGUUAUUUAUUGUGUUCCUCCUCCGUUACUUCUUUCUUGUAGACCCUAAGGCUGCCGGCGAACCCCCCCAGUUCGACUACGGUGUUGACGACCCCUCUCUCUUGCCAGAGCAACCAGGCAAGCCCCCCCCCCCUUUGAUCACCAGAUAUCGCCUACUCUUCUCUAUAUUGCUUGCAUUAGAGUAGUGUAGCAUGUUACUGCUUUCCCUUAUUCCUAUCCUGAUGCAUAGCCUGUCCUUGCUACUACUGUUGUUACCAUUACCUGCUAUCCUACUGCUUAGUAUAGGAUGCUAGUGUUCCAUCAGUGGCCCUACACUCUUGUCCGUCUGCCAUGCUAUACUACUGGGCCGUGAUCACUUCGGGAGGUGAUCACGGGAAUAUACUAUAUACUUUACACAGUUACAUUACCUGUGGUACUGUUCGGAGUUGGGGGCUGAAGGGGCAGGUGGCUCCAUCCCAGUAGAGGUGGGCCUGGGUUCCCGACGGCCCCCGACUGUUACUUUGUGGCGGAGCGACAGGGCAGGUUGAGACCACCUAGGAGAGAGGUGGGCCUGGCCCUGGUCGGUGUUCGCGGAUAUUUAACACGUUUAACGAGAUCUUGGUAUUUGAUCUGAGUCUGGCUAUUGGCCUAUAUGCACUAACCAUCUACGCGGGGACAGUUAUGGGCACUCGACGUCGUGGUAUCAGCCGAAGCCUUCGUGACGUCAGCGACUGAGUGGCGCACGCCGGAUUGGACCGUAAGCCUGCUCUUGUAUUAAGGGGGCUAGUUCUGCUUCCGGCCGCAUACGCAACGUGUAGGUGUGCAAUGGGCGAUGGGCCCAGACCCCUGCGCCAUAGGAUUUAGACCGGCGUGCUGACCUCUCUGUUGUGCCUAGGUAGGGCUACGACGUGUUGAUCUUCCGAGGCCGGGCAUGACCCAGGAAAGUGUGUCCGGCCAAAUGGGAUCGAGCGUGUUGGGUUAUGUGGUGCACCCCUGUAGGGAAGUUAAUCUAUUCGAAUAGCCGUGAUCUUCGGUAACAGGACGACUUGGAGUUGUACCUUGACCUUAUGACAACUAGAACCGGAUACUUAAUAAAACACACCCUUCCAAGUGCCAGAUACAACCGGUGAUCGCUCUCUCACAGGGCGACGAGGGGAGGAUCAUCGGUUAGGAUUAUGCUAUACGAUGCUACUUGAUGCUACUUGGUGAAAUUACCAUCUACUCUCUCCUACAUGAUGCAAGAUGGAGGUGGCCAGAAGCGUAGUCUUCGACAUGAUUAGUUAUCCCCCUCUUAUUCUGGCAUUCUGCAGUUCAGUCCACAUAUGAUACCCUUAUUCCAUUUGAUACCCAUGCAUAUGUAGUGUAGCUGCUUGCUUGCGAGUACUUUGGAUGAGUACUCACGGUUGCUUUCUCCCCCUUUUCCCCCUUUCCUUUCUUUCUGGUUGUCGCAACCAGAUGCUGGAGUCCAGGAGCCAGACGCCACUGUUGAUGACGACUACUACUACUCGGGAGGUGCCUACUACUAUGUGCAGCCCGCUGACGGCGACCAAGAGUAGUUUAGGAGGAUCCCGAGCAGGAGGCCUGCGCCUCUUUCGAUCUGUAUCCCAGUUUGUGUUAUCCUUCUUAAGGCAAACUUGUUUAACUUAUGUCUGUACUCAGAUAUUGUUGCUUCCACUGACUCAUCUAUGAUCGAGCUCUUGUAUUCGAGCCUUCGAGGCCCCUGGCUUGUAAUAUGAUGCUUGUAUGACUUAUUUUAUUUGUAGAGUUGUGUUGUGAUAUCUUCCCAUGAGUCCCUGAUCUUGAUCGUACACGUUUGCGUGUAUGAUUAGUGUACGAUUGAAUCGGGGGCGUCACAAGUUGGUAUCAGAGCCGACUGCCUGUAGGAAUUCCCCUUCCACACUCCUUGGCCAAAGUCGAGUCUAGACAUUACAAAAACUUUUACUAACAUGGAUGUGUGCCUUACGGGCCCACGUCGCCAUCUGGGUGGUAUUGGAAUCUUUUACUCCUCGAUCCUUACUUUGGGAUUCUGACUCUCUCCUACUCGGGUUAAAUGAUUUUACUAAACCUGACUCUAGGUUCUCGUAACUACUUUCUCCCGGAGAGCCCCUUAUCACAGAUGAUCGCAUGCUGCACCAGAAGAUUCCGAAGAUACUCUCCAAUGUUCUCUUGAGACUUUGUGCCCGCCGCCUUUGCAAUUCCCUACCACCGAAUUAUCCCUAUGGAUAAAUAGAUACACCAAUCGUCCUUAAUUUUAUUCCUAGCUGAUCUUGUUAUUGCAAGAUACCCCGAAAUUCUCUCUAUUGUCCCGAGAAUACUUUGUGCCUACCGCCUUGCAGUUCUUUGCCGCCUGAAUGCCCCUAUGGAUAAAUUCUCGCACCUACCGAGUAUCCGCUCAUCCCCAGUUGUUUAUGUGUUUCACUAAGGUUUUCGAAAUAAUAUUCGAUCUUCCAAAAAUCCUUAACAGCUUAUUGCCCUUGAAAUUCUUGCUUGCUUGCAUUAUGGUUAAUCCCAUAAGUCUCGUAAUCAUUAUUGGCAUCCCUUGUCAUUGUUAUUUUGGGUCUUUGAUCCAAUAUGGUUGUGAAUGCUUGCAAUCCUCAGGAUUUAUCCUUCCAGCUCAGACAUCAUUUUAAACAUGAGCUAGUUCUCGACCAAUCGGAUUGCCAUCGAUUGUACCCUAAGCAUACGUAACUUAUCCAUCCUUAAUCAAAGUGUUUGCUUCUGAUCCCUUGGUCGGAAAUCAUAAUUCUUUUGCAUUUGAGCUUUGAAUUAGUUAGUUGUUUCUAUAGUAUGAUCUCCUUGCAUUGUUUCUUCCUCUGGUUGAGUACCGAUGCUCACAUCAGAUCCUUUGAGGACCACCGGAUCCUUUGUUGGAUUUUAUCCGAUAGCGUCCUUCAUAUUCAAUCCCUUUGGAAGUUCUUUCUCCAUUGGUAAAUCCUAUCCUCUGAUUGACCAACCAUGCUCUGCUUUUGAGCUUGUGGUAUUUACUAUUGAAGCUUGUGGUAUAUGUUUCCAUGAUACCCUGACAGGUUGAACCUAUGCCUUCCUUAAUAUGUGUGAACUCGAAAGUUUUCACGAGUCAUACUCUUCUGGUGUUUUGCUAGAUAAAAUCUCAACACUACAACUUCUUCGAAAGUGAGAGGUGAAUGGAAGGUUAUACAUUGAAGAAGCGGGAGUCGACCUUGAACUUUGUGUUCAUGCCCAUGGUCACGACGUAGAUCCUACCAUAGAAGCUUCUUGUAAUAAUAACUAUUUCGUUGAUGUAAUAUCAUCUGGUAUCUGUGAACUGAUCCUAUGCAAUCAUGGUUCCGACCAUAUUUUCUCCUUAAUACCAUUUCUCGGACAAGUUGAAGUACUUGUCUUGUGCAGAUCAUUGCACUUGUCCAACCUUUACUUUGAUCUACCGUCGAGUAUUACACUAUGAUAUCUUGAUAAUUUCAUGGUACUACAUAACUUCUUAUGGGUUCUUCAUCAAAUGUUAUUUCUCCCCUAAUCCAAUUUUUCUUGGGUUCUGGGUUGUCAUCAAACAAGAACACCGAAUAGUGAAUCGAGUCUGUACUCCGAUUCAAUAAGUCCUAAGUAAUUUUCAUUGCUUCCGAGUUUAAUAACCCUUCAAGUCAUUCCUAGCCUGAUUGGCCAUAUCAUUAUCAUGCAAAAAUUUAACUGUGCUACCUGGUCCUUCUUCCCGGAGCAAAAUUUUCGAUGAUGAGCUAAGCUUACGUCGAUCUUCCUCGUCAUAACACUUCGCCUUGAACUACGAGCUUGUUUCGAGUUUGUGUCAUACCCUUGGUUUCAGUAACCUUUCGCUUCAUCAUUCCUUUGGCUUGAUGUCAUCGCUGACCGAUUACAUCUUCAUGAAAUCUCUCAACAAUUGUGUCGUGAUCAUCAUCGGCAUUCUGAGUUCUUCCAGUAUGUCAAUUGAGUUCAUGAUGAGAAAUACCAUCCUUGCCCUUGAUGAUCUGUAUUAUCAUCGACCACUUUAUUGACUUCCCUCCAACACAAACUUGCAGUGUUUUGUGUUAUACCUUGAGUUCUUGCUAUCCAGCAUUUGUUCUUCCUUACCUUGGAGUAUUACCAUCUUUAAUGUCAAGAAAGUCGUGAGAAUUUCACCACCUCUUAAGGAUUCUUGAUACAGGUAAUACUUCUUACCAUCACCUUUCUUUCUUGGUCCCCGUGUUGGUUCUAACCGGGAUACCAACAGGUGAACGGUGAUGUUUGGAUUCUGCCCUUCUAGCAACCCUAUUGCUUUGAAGUUAAUGGUCGAACGUUCAUUCUUAGACUAUUGAUCACUGAAUCAGCAUUCUAACAUUUGAUCAUGCUACCUAAGCCCAUACCUUGGGCACCCUUUUCAACUAAUGUUUAAUUGUGUAUGUUUUUCCUUGAGCAUACAUCAUUUUAUCAUUUGAUCCGACAAAUCUUAUCUCCUUGUUCAAUAACUAUGGAAAUCCAUCUUUUUGGAUACCUCGAUGUAUUAUUGUUGAGUCCAUCAGCCACCUCCUCAUCCUCUCCUUGGCUUAAUGAUGAAUCCCUUCGUGUAUCCAGAGUCCGGCCUUUGCUUGAAGACCAUGUCAAUGCUAUCUUGAAGCAUGUCUGUGGUACUCCGAUUUUCAACAAGAACAUUUGAAGCCCAAUGCUAAAUGUUUCCUGCUCAAUUACCCAAACACCACUGUAUGGGUAAUGUCAUGAAAUCCCCCCCUUACCUAAAGGGUUUUCUACAUUAUAUCCUGUCAAGGAAAUCAUGCUUUGCUUGUCCUUGGGAAGAAUAUACCCUUGAAAUAUGUGUUUAAACACAUUUUCCUUUCCAUUGUUCUGUUUAAACCUGAUAAUCACUUUUCCUUUCCAUUGGUUUGUUUAAACCUUCUUGUGAUCUAUAUUGUAUAAGCAGUAAUAUAUCCCUGCUUAUGUAAACACCUCGUUGUACCACUCUGUUAGAAGGACCCUGUUACUUUUGUUGAUGACAUUUUGGUAACACCGAUGGACAAGAACUUUGCCUAUUGGUCCGCCUCGUUCAACGAGCAGGAAAAUGGUUCUCUUCGUCCCUCGCCCUUGGUAUCGAUGUCGUUGCCGACAUAAUCGACAGGCUACCCUCUGACAUGCCUUGCUAUCAUGACCAUGCAAGAUGUCACCGCUCCUCCUACUUUUAUCCCACAUGGUGGGCCCAUAACCCACAGUUCCAUAGGAUCGAAACCUGACUCUCCUGUACACCCCCAGUUUCCAAAGUUAUUCCUCGCACUUGACUUCGUAUGUAAUUCACGGGUUCACUAUCCUAGUAAUCUAUUCUGGCAUCAGACGCAAUACUUAUUCCCAUUGCUCUAGACCCCUUUCACACUUUGUUUCAGGCAUUGAACGAUUUCCUGCCCGCUCAAAAUUUAUCAUGAUACCUCCUUACUUUGCUCUCGAUAUUUUCUCAAGUUUCAAUUCGAGAGAUACUUAUGCUUCUUCCCCUGAGUUAACCGUCCGAUGCUCAAUUUUGUUAGAAUCCAUCUUUAUAGAGUUUUCUCCCUCUUAUCCUUUCGUAAGUCCGGUGAAGAUCCUGAACGAAGGACGACAACUUCAUCAUGAUGCAUUGAUGCAUAGGAAUGAAGACAUCAAUGCUAUGGAUCGACCUCUUCGAGAAGAGCAACCAAGACCGAGAAGAUUCGUUAGAAUAUCGUAACAAGAACUUUCCCCCUUACUCCCCUCUUAAAUCUCGGGACGAGAUUUCUUGUAGUGGAGGAGAAUUGUGACGCCCGGGUAAUUAAGCUACAGUGAUCCUUUGCUAAUGAUGCCAUGUCACCACUAUUACUGUUACUAAUCUCACGUUGAUCCAAAUUCGGUUCAAAUUCAAAUUCAAAUAAUAAGUGAAAUUCUAAACUUCUCAAACAUGAAAACUAAAAUGAUCAUCAUGUGGCAAAUAAUCCCUAACUUAUUUUGGGUGUUGGAACCAACCUUUUUCAAAAUGUUUAAGUGCCUAAACUAAAUAAAAACAGGGGCUAAAACAAUUAUUAAAUACUUUUAAAUAAUAAGUAAAUGUAAAACUAAUUUAUUUAGUGCCAAAUUAAUUAUGGAAGUAGCCUAACUAAUAAUGCUAAUUUAGGGACUGAGUUGAUUUAUUAUAAAACUACAUAUAAAGUAAAACUAAA
rnacentral:lncRNA from 1 species